rnacentral:rRNA from 1 species
AAGUACGGAAGAGAUAACCGCUGAAAGCAUCUAAGCGGGAAACUCGCCUCAAGAUGAGACUUCCCGGAGGCUAGACCUCCCUGAAGGGUCGUCCAAGACCAGGACGUUGAUAGGCUGGGUGUGGAAGCGCAGUAAUGCGUUAAGCUAACCAGUACUAAUUGCCCGUGCGGCUUGAUCCU